UACAGGGACCAGCAGAAGCAAAAGUCUGCAAAACGUGUCUGUCCAUAUCAGGGGCUGGUCCUUGGAGUAAUCACCAUAAAAACACCAGCAGUAGCAGCCACCCCAUAGGCACGGGUUCAUCCCUCCAUAUUUUUUCUCACUGACUCCUAACAAUAGCCCGGCCAGGUGAGAACACGUCCAGGCUCAGAGAGGUUACGUAACUGAGAGGCCCAAGUUCACGACUGGAAGUAAUCCAGGGCUGCCUGGUGCGAGCUCACGGUCUCUGAGGUCGGACUGAGGACAGGGAGGGAAGCCGGCUCCGCAGUAGAAACGCUUCGCCUUUGGGGAAGAGGUAUGCACCCAUCAGGCCAAACUCGUCUCUGUCUUUGCGGGAGAAGGUGCGAAGGCCUUAGGACCCUGAGAGCGGCCGAGGAGGUCUUUUGGCCCAAGGACCUGGGAACGAUGGAUCAACUUUACCAUGAGAGCUUUUACAGUUGCCAAAGUGUGGAAGGUCAACGUCACAGCUGCAGCCUUCACAAGGAGGUGGAGUUGUUUAUAGCCUGAUGCAGGGCCUGGAUGUGGCGCUGUUCCCUUCACCUGAAAGGCCACCUCCGUUCCAAAGCUUACCAGCAUAAUGGAUAUGUUUCCUUUAUAUCUCAACAAGCAACACCUCCUUGCUGAAGCUUUUCUUCAUCUUCCGUAAUGGAUCAGGCCUGGGAGAGGCUUCCCCACUUUAACAGCUGUGCCUGGCAUCGCUCAGGGACUCAAUGUCCAGCACGGAUUUGCUUCCAAGCAGGACUCUCGUGACUCUCAACAGGACAGGUUGCCUGCAAAUGAAAAUAAAAUGGAGAGGGAGGUUGGGGAGGCUUGGGUUUCAGACAUCUUUCACUGAGGAAUUAGUUUUAAAGAGACACACCGCAAUAAAGCAUGCACUGAGGCCAGACACCGC